rnacentral:lncRNA from 1 species
AGUUUGUCAGGAAUUAGGGUUUUUACUGCUCAGAUUUAUUUCUGGUUUUUAGGGUUAGGGUUUAUGAGAGCAACGUCGUGCUGAUAACGUAUUGUAAAUGAAGUGUUGGGGAAAUACUUCUGUUAUUAUUACUGUCGACCAGAAGGUCCAUAUAUAUACAAGGUAUUAGACCGUCAUAAGGUCAUGUUUAUCCUAACAAGAUAAGGAUAAUG